AUUGAACGCUGGCGGCAGGCAUAACACAUGCAAGUCGAGCGUUGCGGCGGACGGGUGCUUAAUGCCUGGGAAUCUGCCUGGUAGUGGGGGAUAACGUCCAGAAACGGUCGCUAUUACCGCAUCCUAUCAGAUGCGCCUAGGUCGGAUUAGCUAGUUGGUGGGGUAAAGGCCUACCAAGGCGGCGAUCCGUAACUGGUCUGAGAGGAUGAUCAGUCACACUGGAACUGAGACACGGUCCAGACUCCUACGGGAGGCAGCAGUGGGGAAUAUUGGACAAUGGGCGAAAGCCUGAUCCAGCCAUGCCGCGUGUGUGAAGAAGGUCUUCGGAUUGUAAAGCACUUUAAGUUGGGAGGCGUUACCAACAGAAUAAGCACCGGCUAACUUCGUGCCAGCAGCCGCGGUAAUAC
rnacentral:rRNA from 1 species